rnacentral:rRNA from 1 species
GCAGUCGAACGGUGAUAGCAAUAUCAUAGUGGCGCACGGGUGCGUAACACGUAUGCAACCUACCUAUUAUUGGGGGAUAGCCUUUGGAAACGGAGAUUAAUACCGCAUAAUACGAUUGACUGGCAUCGGUUGAUUGUUAAAGCUUCGGCGAUAAUAGAUGGGCAUGCGUCCAAUUAGUUAGUUGGUUAGGUAACGGCUGACCAAGACGAUGAUUGGUAGGGGAUCUGAGAGGAUAAUCCCCCACACUGGCACUGAGAUACGGGCCAGACUCCUACGGGAGGCAGCAGUAGGGAAUAUUGGGCAAUGGGCGGAAGCCUGACCCAGCCAUGCCGCGUGCAGGAAGAAGGCGUUAUGCGUUGUAAACUGCUUUUUUAUAGGAAGAAGGAUCCCUUGCGAGGGAAGGUGACGGUACUAUAAGAAUAAGCACCGGCUAACUCCGUGCCAGCAGCCGCGGUAAUACGGAGGGUGCAAGCGUUGUCCGGAUUUAUUGGGUUUAAAGGGUGCGUAGGCGGUUUAUUAAGUCAGUGGUGAAAGACGGUCGCUCAACGAUUGCAGUGCCAUUGAUACUGGUAGACUUGAGUGGGAUUGAGGUAGCUGGAAUGGAUAGUGUAGCGGUGAAAUGCAUAGAUAUUAUCCAGAACACCGAUUGCGAAGGCAGGUUACUAAGUCUUAACUGACGCUGAG